AGGAGCAGACCACAAGCCUCAACAAUAGCCAAGGAACUAACACAUUUUUUUGCAGCAAAAUUGUUCUUCAGCCGAGCAGAUAGAUACCUAUUUCACUUGUGGUUGCGCUCUGCGGGUAUGGGAUAGAUCACCAUAUGCAAGCUUCACUCCCCACGGACCGCUCUUCUAAAGUUCCGUAAAUCUUCUCAAUGGCAAGGUUUCUUGAUGACCCCAUCUUAUUUAUUGUAAGCUGUUGGACAGACAUCUCAGAUCUACAAACAAAUGAGUAUAGAGAACAAUAUUGCAAGCCUCAUGGCACAGGUUCAAACAUUCAGCAUAGUCUGGAAUUUGGAAGGCGAAAGCAUGACCCCAACUUGUAGAUCGAUCUAUCUUCAUUUGGGUAAAAUUCCUAGAUUUGCCUUUCCAGCUGCAGCAUGGUCAGGGAUUUGAAAGGCAAAAGCAUGACUCCAAUUUGUAGAUCGAUAUGCGAAAUCAUAAUUUAGGGUAGAAUUCCUGGAUUUGCCAACUUCAUUUAGGGUAGAAUUCCUAGAUUUGCCUUUCGAGCUGAAGCAUUAUCUAGAAUUUGAAAGGCUAAAGCAUAUGACCCAACUUGAAGGUCGAUCUGCCAAAUCUCCAUUUGGGGCAGAAUCCUUGGAUUUGCCUCCAGCUGAAGCAUGGUCCGAAAUAAUUUGAAAGGUGAAAGCAUGACCCCAACUUGUA